GGGCAAAAAUGGAAAACUGCCAAUCUGUUAUCCAAGAUAAUGAAGCAAUUUCUCAACAUGGGGUAGAUCACAUGAAAGCACAUGAAAUACAGAGGGAUUAAAAGGACUUUGAGAAUACAUAAUAAAUUAAGGACCUUUUUACAUUCCCUAUAUAUUAUUGUCUGCCCAAGGAUUGCAGGUUCAAACCCUAAAUGGAUUGGAAAAAAAAAAAGAUACCUCACUGUUACAUGACUUCAGCUGUUGACACCACUUAGCAAGGAGCCCCUGAUCCUGCUACUACAUCCGUAUGGGCAGACCCUUACCCCUGAUGGAACUCCACUGAUUUCAACUGGGGCUUUAUGUGAACACAGGGGUCAGCCCAGGAAGUUGUAGAAUUGGGACCCUAUAAAGCUAAAUAAGAAGGAAAAAUUUUUUAAGUUGUGUGUGUGUGUG